rnacentral:rRNA from 1 species
UCCUUAGAUGGUCUGGGCGGCACGCGCGCUACAAUGAUGCAUUGAAAAAGUCUUCUGACCUUAGAAGGUUGGGUAUUCUCCAAAGUGCAUCGUGAUGGGAAUAGUUUAUUGCAAUUUUUAAUCUUGAACGAGGAAUUCCUAUUAAGUACAGGUCAUCAACUUGUGUUGAUUACGUCCCUGCCCUUUGUACACACCGCCCGUCGCUCCUACUGAUUGAGUGUCUCGGUGAAUUCUUUGAUCUUCUGUCGAUUCAGUUCACUGAUCCGACGGUGGAAAGUUGAAUGAACUUCGUCACUUAGAGGAAGGAGAAGUCGUAACA